rnacentral:rRNA from 1 species
GAUGAACGCUGGCGGCGUGCCUAAUACAUGCAAGUCGAGCGAACAGACGAGGAGCUUGCUCCUCUGACGUUAGCGGCGGACGGGUGAGUAACACGUGGAUAACCUACCUAUAAGACUGGGAUAACUUCGGGAAACCGGAGCUAAUACCGGAUAAUAUAUUGAACCGCAUGGUUCAAUAGUGAAAGACGGUUUUGCUGUCACUUAUAGAUGGAUCCGCGCCGCAUUAGCUAGUUGGUAAGGUAACGGGUUACCAAGGCGACGAUGCGUAGCCGACCUGAGAGGGUGAUCGGCCACACGGGAACUGAGACACGGUCCAGACGCCUACGGGAGGCAGCAGUAGGGAAUCUUCCGCAAUGGGCGAAAGCCUGACGGAGCAACGCCGCGUGAGUGAUGAAGGUCUUCGGAUCGUAAAACUCUGUUAUUAGGGAAGAACAAAUGUGUAAGUAACUAUGCACGUCUUGACGGUACCUAAUCAGAAAGCCACGGCUAACUACGUG